rnacentral:rRNA from 1 species
UGGGGAAUAUUGCACAAUGGAGGGAACUCUGGUGCAGCGACGCCGCGUGAGUGAUGAAGGAAUUCGUUUCGUAAAACUCUGUUCUAUGGGAAGAAAAGGACUGUACCAUAGGAGAAAGCUCCGGCUAAAUACGUGCCAGCAGCCGCGGUAAUACGUAUGGAGCGAGCGUUGUCCGGAAUUAUUGGGCGUAAAGGGUGCGCAGGCGGCUUUACAAGUUGGAUGUGAAAUAUUGUGGCUCAACCACAAACGUGCAUCCGAAACUGCAAAGCUUGAGUUAAGGAGAGGUAAGUGGAAUUCCUGGUGUAGCGGUGGAAUGCGUAGAUAUCAGGAGGAAUACCGGUGGCGAAGGCGACUUACUGGACUUAAACUGACGCUCAGGCACGAAAGCGUGGGGAGCAAACAGG